rnacentral:lncRNA from 1 species
UCGUUCUGUGAGUGGUCUGUAAGGCUCUCUCGGGGAGGAGAGCGGUAGGGGGCGCUGGGUGGCGCCCAGGGCCGCUGGAGUGCCCCCGGGAGAUGGUUACCCUCUGCGUUGCAGAAGACCCUGGCGUACUCACUGUCGCUUUAUUUCGUCUAUGUCACAGGCGGGAUCAUGUAGUUGUGGACACAAUCGUCCCAACCUCCCAAGAGUUCUUGCCUUCAUUCACCGUAGUGGUGCUAGACUUGUAGUUUACAAGACUGAGAUCAUCCCUCACCUCCUCCAGCCACCAGCCCCAUCAUGUCCAGCUUGGGUAGAUGUGGAAUAGGGUCCACGCUGUAAGGUAGGCUGUGUU